AUGGACAACCUGACUACUGACUCGGAAGAUGUCAAUUACAUGAAAGAAAUCAAGAAGCACUACAAUUUGACACGGAAAAACUGGAAUGGAGAUCCAUGCUCCCCAAGAGAAUAUUCUUGGGAAGGUUUGACUUGCGACUACUCAAAGAGCAACCAGAAUCCAAGGAUUGUUUCAGUAAAUCUGUCUACGAGUGGAUUGGAAGGUGGGGUAGCUGUAUCAUUUAUGAACAUGGUAUCACUGGAAAACCUGGAUUUAUCGCACAACAAUUUGACAGGAGCUAUUCCUGACUAUCAACUAAAGUCACUCAAAAUUCUAAACUUGUCAAACAACCAGCUCGUUGGGCCAAUCCCUUACUCUAUUCUUCAAAGAUUUCAGGCUGGCUUGCUUGAUUUAAGAUUAGAAGGCAAUCCCGUAUGCUCAGAAGUCAGAGAUACGUACUGUUCAAAUAAGAAGAACUCCAUACAUAUAAUGCUCAUCGCAGUAACAGUUCCUGUUGCACUGGUAUCCCUUCUAGCAUUGAUGUGCAUAAUCCGGAAAUUAUGUUGGAAAGGGAAAUCAGACCAUGAGGAUUAUGCUAUGUAUGAAGAGGAAACUUCCCUACAUGUUGACAUCAGACGGUUCAUGUACGCGGAGCUAAAGCUCAUAACAAAUGAUUUCCAGUCAAUCAUUGGAAAAGGAGGUUUUGGUAUUGUUUAUCAUGGCAUGUUGGAAAAUGGUGAUGAAGUAGCGGUUAAGGUGCUGAUGGAAACAUCAAUAACCGAGUCAACGGACUUCCUCCCUGAGGUACAAACCUUGUCCAAAGUUCACCACAAGAAUCUUGUGAAUUUGAAAGGAUAUUGUCAAAACAAGAAGUGCCUAGCUCUCAUUUAUGACUUCAUGCAGAGAGGGAAUCUUCAACAACUCAUAAGAGGAGGAGAUGACUAUAGUUUGAAUUGGGAACAACGGCUUCAUAUUGCACUUGAUGCUGCACAAGGGCUGGAGUAUCUACACGAGUCAUGCACCCCUUCAAUAGUUCACAGAGAUGUCAAGACCCCCAAUAUCCUUCUGGACAAGAAUCUGGUGGGGAUAAUAUCUGAUUUUGGUCUUUCACGAGCUUUUAAUGAUGCUCACACGCACAUAUCUACUGUUGCUGCUGGCACUCUUGGCUACCUCGACCCCGAGUACCAUGCAACUUUUCAACUCACGGUCAAGACAGAUGUUUACAGUUUCGGCAUCGUGCUCUUGGAGAUCAUCACUGGCCAGCCCCCAGUAUUGAUGGAGCCUCAAACCUUUCAUCUACCAAACUGGGUACGCCAUAAGAUUGCCAUGGGCAAUAUUCAUGACAUCGUGGACAAGAGGUUGUUGGAUCAGUACAAUGCUAGUUCACUCCAGAGUGUGGUAGACCUUGCUAUGAGCUGCGUCGAAAACGCAGCCAUCGACAGGCCGACCAUGACCGAGGUUGUUUCAAGGCUCAAAGAGUGGUUGCCAGCGGUUUCAAGCGAAAAGCAGCCUGAUUCGUCUUCAACUCGUCGUACGAACUCCACGGAUGCUGAAAUUCGAAGGCAAUUUCAGUUGGCGAUUUUUGGAGUAAGUAACGAGGAGAACUCCUUCCAGUCUGGUUAUACCGAUGGGAUGUCAGAAUUAAUCCCUUUAUCUGGACGGUGA
rnacentral:rRNA from 1 species